UACAGAGGGGGCAAGCGUUGUUCGGAAUUACUGGGCGUAAAGGGCGCGUAGGCGGCCUACUAAGUCGAACGUGAAAUCCCCGGGCUCAACCCGGGAACUGCGUCCGAUACUGGUGGGCUUGAAUUCGGGAGAGGGAUGUGGAAUUCCAGGUGUAGCGGUGAAAUGCGUAGAUAUCUGGAGGAACACCGGUGGCGAAGGCGGCAUCCUGGACCGAUAUUGACGCUGAUGCGCGAAAGCCAGGGGAGCAAACGGG
rnacentral:ncRNA from 2 species